rnacentral:rRNA from 1 species
UUGAACGCUGGCGGAAUGCUUUACACAUGCAAGUCGAGCGGCAGCGCGGGGGCAACCCUGGCGGCGAGCGGCGAACGGGUGAGUAACACAUCGGAACGUACCCUGUCGUGGGGGAUAACACAUCGAAAGAUGUGCUAAUACCGCAUACGACCUGAGGGUGAAAGCGGGGGAUCGCAAGACCUCGCGCGAUAGGAGCGGCCGAUGUCGGAUUAGCUAGUUGGUGAGGUAAAGGCUCACCAAGGCGACGAUCCGUAGCUGGUCUGAGAGGACGACCAGCCACACUGGAACUGAGACACGGUCCAGACUCCUACGGGAGGCAGCAGUGGGGAAUUUUGGACAAUGGGCGCAAGCCUGAUCCAGCCAUGCCGCGUGCGGGACGAAGGCCUUCGGGUUGUAAACCGCUUUCAGCCGGAAAGAAAUCGUCAAGGCUAAUAUCCUUGAUGGAUGACGGUACCGGAAGAAGAAGCACCGGCUAACUACGU